rnacentral:rRNA from 1 species
UACGGAGGGGACUAGCGUUGUUCGGAAUUACUGGGCGUAAAGCGCACGUAGGCGGAUUUGUAAGUCAGGGGUGAAAUCCCGGGGCUUAACCUCGGAACUGCCUUUGAUACUGCAAAUCUCGAGUCCGGAAGAGGUGAGUGGAAUUCCUAGUGUAGAGGUGAAAUUCGUAGAUAUUAGGAAGAACACCAGUGGCGAAGGCGGCUCACUGGUCCGGUACUGACGCUGAGGUGCGAAAGCGUGGGGAGCAAACAGG